GAUGAACGCUGGCGGCGUGCCUAAUACAUGCAAGUCGAGCGAAUGGAUUAAGAGCUUGCUCUUAUGAAGUUAGCGGCGGACGGGUGAGUAACACGUGGGUAACCUGCCCAUAAGACUGGGAUAACUCCGGGAAACCGGGGCUAAUACCGGAUAACAUUUUGAACCGCAUGGUUCGAAAUUGAAAGGCGGCUUCGGCUGUCACUUAUGGAUGGACCCGCGUCGCAUUAGCUAGUUGGUGAGGUAACGGCUCACCAAGGCAACGAUGCGUAGCCGACCUGGGAGGGUGAUCGGCCACACUGGGACUGCGAAACGGCCCAGACUCCUACGGGAGGCAGCAGUAGGGAAUCUUCCGCAAUGGACGAAAGUCUGACGGAGCAACGCCGCGUGAGUGAUGAAGGCUUUCGGGUCGUAAAACUCUGUUGUUAGGGAAGAACAAGUGCUAGUUGAAUAAGCUGGCACCUUGACGGUACCUAGCCAGAAAGCCACGGCUAACUACGUGCCAGCCGCCGCCGUAA
rnacentral:rRNA from 1 species